UAUUAAAGUUGUUGCAGUUAAAAAGCUCGUAGUUGGAUUUCGGGAUGGGCCAGUCGGUCUGCCGUAAGGUAUGUUACUGGCUGGUCUGUCCUUCUUCGCAAAGACUGCGUGUGCCCUUGAUUGUGUGUGCGUAGGAUUUGCGACGUUUACUUUGAAAAAAUUAGAGUGUUCAAAGCAGGCUGACCGCUUGAAUACAUGAGCAUGGAAUAAUGGAAUAGGACUUUGGUUCUAUUUUGUUGGUUUCUUGAACCGAAGUAAUGAUUAAGAGGGACAGUUGGGGGCAUUCGUAUUUCGUUGUCAGAGGUGAAAUUCUUGGAUUUACGAAAGACGAACAACUGCGAAAGCAUUUGCCAAGAAUGUUUUCAUUAAUCAAGAACGAAAGUUAGAGGCUCGAAGACGAUCAGAUACCGUCCUAGUUCUAACCAUAAACGAUGCCGACUAGGGAUCAGCGGGCGUUAUUUUAUGACCCCGUUGGCACCUUAUGGGAAACCAAAGUUUUUGGGUUCCGGGGGAAGUAUGGUUGCAAAGCUGAAACUUAAAGGAAUUG
rnacentral:rRNA from 1 species